AGUGUUGAGGUUGGGAAUAUGCCAUGCUCUCUCUUGGGUAAAUUCUCAGCCUCUCACAGU
rnacentral:pre_miRNA from 2 species